UGGGGAAUCUUCCGCAAUGGACGAAAGUCUGACGGAGCAACGCCGCGUGUAUGAUGAAGGUCUUCGGAUUGUAAAGUACUGUCAUUGGGGAAGAACGGUUUUCUUGAAAAGAUUGAGAAGACAUGACGGUACCCAAGGAGGAAGCCCCGGCUAACUACGUGCCAGCAGCCGCGGUAAUACGUAGGGGGCAAGCGUUGUCCGGAAAUUAUUGGGCGUAAAAGGGCGCGUAGGCGGGCCUUUAAGUCCGGUGUGAAAGAUCAGGGCUCAACCCUGAGAGUGCAUCGGAAACUGGAGGCCUUGAGGACAGGAGAGGAAAGUGGAAUUCCACGUGUAGCGGUGAAAUGCGUAGAUAUGUGGAGGAACACCAGUGGCGAAGGCGACUUUCUGGACUGUAACUGACGCUGAGGCGCGAAAGCGUGGGGAGCAAAACAGGAUUAGAUACCCUGGUAGUCCACGCCGUAAAACGAUGAGUGCUAGGUGUAGAGGGUAUCGACCCCCUUCUGUGCCGCAGUUAAACACAAU
rnacentral:rRNA from 1 species